rnacentral:rRNA from 1 species
AGGGAAUCUUCCACAAUGGCCGAAAGUCUGAUGGAGCACCGCCGCGUGGGGGAUGAAGGUUUUCGGAUCGUAAAACUCUUUUGUAAGGGAGGAACAAGUACGUAAGGCAAUGGAGUUACCUUGACGGUACCUUAUUAGAAAGCCACGGCUAAAUCGGUGCCAGCAGCCGCGGUAAUACGGAGUGGCAAGCGUUGUCCGGAAUUAUUGGGCGUAAAGCGCGCGCAGGUGGUUUCUUAAGUCUGAUGUGAAAGCCCACGGCUUAACCGUGGAGGGUCAUUGGAAACUGGGAGACUUGAGUGCAGAAGAGGAAAGUGGAAUUCCAAGUGUAGCGGUGAAAUGCGUAGAGAUUUGGAGGAACACCAGUGGCGAAGGCGACUUUCUGGUCUGCAACUGACGCUGAGGCGCGAAAGCAUGGGGAGCAAACA